AAGUCGUAACAAGGUCUCCGUAGGGGAACCUGCGGAGGGAUCAUUUCUGUGAAUUUGUCUGGGUUUUGGAUGGAGGAAGAGGGGGGUGUGUUUGCUUUAACCAUUGGCUUAGCAAUAAGAAAAUGGAGCGAGUGGCAUGUCUUUUUUUUCUUUAUCCCUUACCUAUUCAAAACAAAGUUGGAUGUGCUCAUUUCUUAUAAAAUGGGGGGGGAUUCUUGGUGGGGGUGGAAACACCCUUUGCUAUAAACCCCCCUGUUUUCUAACUAUAAAACUGUCAUGAAGGUAUCCUUAACUGAAUCCACAACAAGAAAUUCAAACUUGACAACUAUCAACGGCGGAUCUCUUGGUUCGU
rnacentral:misc_RNA from 1 species